GGAGACCCCAGUUCCCCACACAGAGGUACAGUUCCCCAGUUUCCUGGAAAGAAGGACCGGCUAUUAAACCACUCUGAGAAUGGUACCUCUGCGAGGGGAAUUGGGGUCUC